rnacentral:misc_RNA from 1 species
UCGUUUUCCUUCUCUCUCCUGUUCGCGAAGCAAGCAGGCUCUCCAGCACGGACCCCGUGAGGUACACCUGCAGAGCUCGUCACACACACGUCCCUUUUCUUUCCCACAUCCCUUUCACCACUGUCGCCUCUUCAGCUGGUCAUGACCACAUCGUACGCUGCAGGCGGAGCGGCUAGCACGGCCGCUGUUGUCCCCUUCAACUAUCUGCGCCUCAAGCGGCAUCGCCGAACGAUCUUCUUGUACUGCGACUUCCAGCAGGACACCGUGCAGGCCAUCAAGGAGCGCAUCGAGAAGCUGACGAGCCGCACCUUCUACACCAUGUGCCUCUACUACGGCACCCAGCGCCUCAGCGACGAAUCGACGCUAUUCAGCGCUGGCAUCUCCGAUGAUGGCACGGAGCUGUGGAUUGCCUACUCGAAGGGCAAGACGGUCGAGGGCGAAACAAUCUGGGAGGAUGUCGAAGAGGCGAUGACGCCAGUUGCCGCUGCUGCGCCGGAGGUAGCGCCCGAGCACACCGGCGAGUCGCACGCAGGCACCACUUUUGGGGCUGACGGACAGGGUGCAGGACAGCAUUCUGUCACCGUUACCGAUAACGUCGAAGUGAUUAUGUAGUGGUCGAUCCCCACUUCAUCGACCUUGUCGCGGUUGUGUGGCGCUUUUUGCGUGCGCUUCGUUUCUGUGUUUGCCACCUCUCUCUCCCUCCCUCUCUGCUCUUUACGGGGAUAGAGGGAAAGCUGUUUUCCAUGUACUGUAGCUCCCACUGCCUUCGUGUGUGUGCGUGUGCAUAUGCUCUGGCCCCCUCUGUCUCCUGUGCUCGCUCUCUUCAGUGGCAAUCACACUUCGGUGUGCCCCCCCCUCCCGCCUCUCUCCUCACUUAGACGCCAAGUGACAAUGCGAAAUAAAGAGAAGAAAUGCCGUGCUUCUCCUCAGCAACUUCCGGAUGACCGUCGUGGUCCUUCCUCCCUUUGCAGUGUUGCGGCUGCAUGUCGUACUAGCGCGGCAUGGCUUCAUCGAUGAAGGAAGCUGGUUAGACCCGUCUUCACGUCAUCGAACGUCCAACGGGGAGUGUGCGCAUGAUAAUGCCCGCAUGGAUAUGGAAAGAUGGGUGGGGAUGGGAGGUGGCGCACGCGUGUGUGGCGUCGUCAUUGCCCCCUUCCCUGGCUUGGCACGCUGUCCUUACCGCUGCUCACUUAGUCACGCUUGCAAGCUUUUACACCCCUUUUUCCCUUCCUCCUUCUCCA